GAUGAACGCUGGCGGCGUGCUUAACACAUGCAAGUCGAACGAAGCACUUGGAUCUCUUCGGAGUGAUGAGUGACUGAGUGGCGGACGGGUGAGUAACGCGUGGGUAACCUGCCUCGUACAGGGGGACAACAGUUGGAAACGACUGCUAAUACCGCAUAAGAGCACAGUAUCGCAUGAUACAGUGUGAAAAGCUGAGGCGGUACGAGAUGGACCCGCGUUGGAUUAGCUAGUUGGUGGGGUAACGGCCUACCAAGGCGACGAUCCAUAGCCGACCUGAGAGGGGGACCGGCCACAUUGGGACUGAGACACGGCCCAAACUCCUACGGGAGGCAGCAGUGGGGAAUAUUGCACAAUGGGCGAAAGCCUGAUGCAGCGACGCCGCGUGAGCGAUGAAGUAUUUCGGUAUGUAAAGCUCUAUCAGCAGGGAAGAAAAUGACGGUACCUGACUAAGAAGCUCCGGCUAAAUACGUGCCAGCCGCCGCCGUAACAC
rnacentral:rRNA from 1 species